GCAAGUCGAACGCUGAAGCCCCAGCUUGCUGGGGUGGAUGAGUGGCGAACGGGUGAGUAACACGUGAGUAACCUGCCCAUCACUCUGGGAUAAGCGCUGGAAACGGCGUCUAAUACUGGAUACGAGCAGCGACCGCAUGGUCAGCUGCUGGAAAGACUGGUUCGGUGAUGGAUGGACUCGCGGCCUAUCAGCUUGUUGGUGAGGUAAUGGCUCACCAAGGCGACGACGGGUAGCCGGCCUGAGAGGGUGACCGGCCACACUGGGACUGAGACACGGCCCAGACUCCUACGGGAGGCAGCAGUGGGGAAUAUUGCACAAUGGGCGCAAGCCUGAUGCAGCAACGCCGCGUGAGGGAUGACGGCCUUCGGGUUGUAAACCUCUUUUAGUAGGGAAGAAGCCUUCGGGUGACGGUACCUGCAGAAAAAGCACCGGCUAACUACGUGCCAGCAGCCGCGGUAAUACGUAGGGUGCAAGCGUUGUCCGGAAUUAUUGGGCGUAAAGAGCUCGUAGGCGGCUUGUCGCGUCUGCUGUGAAAACCCGAGGCUCAACCUCGGGCCUGCAGUGGGUACGGGCAAGCUAGAGUGCGGUAGGGGAGAUUGGAAUUCCUGGUGUAGCGGUGGAAUGCGCAGAUAUCAGGAGGAACACCGAUGGCGAAGGCAGAUCUCUGGGCCGUAACUGACGCUGAGGAGCGAAAGCAUGGGGAGCGAACAGGAUUAGAUACCCUGGUAGUCCAUGCCGUAAACGUUGGGAACUAGAUGUAGGGCCUGUUCCACGGGUUCUGUGUCGUAGCUAACGCAUUAAGUUCCCCGCCUGGGGAGUACGGCCGCAAGGCUAAAACUCAAAGGAAUUGACGGGGGCCCGCACAAGCGGCGGAGCAUGCGGAUUAAUUCGAUGCAACGCGAAGAACCUUACCAAGGCUUGACAUAUGGAAGAACGGGUCAGAAAUGAUUCACUCUUUGGACACUUCUAUACAGGUGGUGCAUGGUUGUCGUCAGCUCGUGUCGUGAGAUGUUCGGUUAA
rnacentral:rRNA from 1 species